rnacentral:tRNA from 1 species
UCCAUGUUAGCUCAGUUGGUAAAGAAUCUGCCUGCAAUGCAACAGAUCCUGGUUCGAUUCCUGGAUUGGGAA